UCGAGGACGACGCUGGCGGCGUGGAUUAGGCAUGCAAGUCGAACGGUAUCAUCCUUUCGGGGGUGAGAGAGUGGCGAACUGGUGAGUAACACGUAGGUUAUCUACCCUCAAGACGGGGACAACCCAGGGAAACUUGGGCUAAUACCGGAUGUGAGCAACUUUUAGUUGUUUGAAAGGUGGCGUAAGCUGUCGCUUGGGGAUGAGCCUGCGUCCUAUUAGUUAGUUGGUGAGGUAACGGCUCACCUAGGCAAUGAUAGGUAGGCGGCCUUAACGGGUGGUCGCCCACACUGGGAUUGAGAUACGGCCCAGACUCCUACGGGAGGCAGCAGUCGAGAAUAGUCUACAAUGGUCGGAAGACUGAUAGUGCGACGCCGCGUGAACGAUGAAUCCCUUCGGGGUGUAAAGUUCUUUUAUAUGUGAGCAGUGCUUCUUAUAUUAACAGUAUGGGGAGAGAGAUAUUAGCAUAUGAAUAAGCAACGGCUAACUCCGUG
rnacentral:rRNA from 1 species